rnacentral:rRNA from 1 species
AACCUUUACAAUGCACGAAAGUGUGAUAAGGGAAUCCUAAGUGCCUUGCUUUUUGCAAGGCUUUUUUCAAGAGUAAAUAUCUUGGAGAAUAAGUGGUGGGAAAGACUGGUGCCAGCAGCCGCGGGAAUACCAGCGCCACGAGUGGUGAUCAUUUUUAUUGGGCCUAAAGCGUUCGUAGCCGGUCUGAUAAAUCAUCUGUGAAAUUGUCAAGCUCAACUUGACAGCGUGCAAAAGACACUAUCAGACUUGGAACCGGGAGGAGUCAGAGGUAUUC